UUGAACUUUUUUUAAUCAUCUAAUAUCUGAUGUGCACAUACACAAUACUAAAUUCAGAAAUCAAUUAUUGAAACUUUGAUAUUUUUCUCUUUUAUAUAAUUGUCAGCUACCAACAGCCCAGGUAACUUAUCUGUCUAUUUUUACAGACGUGGUUUGAAGGUUUUUUUUCUAAACUGAUGCCUGAUGAACACAUAACGUAACAUUCAGAAAUGAGUAUUUUCUUUUCUUCUAUAUAAGUUUCAGGUACCAACAGACCAGGUAACCUCUCACACUUGCUGUGUAUUUUACAGCAAUGGUUUGAACUUUUUAUAAUCAUCUAAUAUCUGCUAGUAUCUGAUGUACAAAUAACGUAAAACUGCACAGUCAGAAAUAACUAAAAUACUGUACAUUUUGUGCUGUGCUUUCAAAAAUCGAUAAUGGAAAUGUUUUAAUUCUUCUAUAGAAUUAACUACCAUCAGCACAGGUAACUUCUCACACUGUAUAUUUUACAGCAGUAGUUUGAACGUUUUUGAAUCAUCUGAUAUCUGAUGUACAGAUAACGUAAAAUUGUACAUCCGGAAACUAACUAAUAAUUAAAAUAAUUAUGGGGGGGUUUUUUUCGAUUUUCAGCUACCAUCAGCACAGCUACCAACAGCCCAGCUACCAACAGCGCAGGUAACAUAUCACAUCUACUGUCUAUUUUGAAGGUUUUUUUUUCUCACCUAAUGCCUGAUGUACACAUAACGUAGUACUCCAUUCAGAAAUGAACUACUAAUCGUAAGAACAAUCA